CUUGCUGCUCGGCUGCGCCACUCCAUUUAGGACCUGGGCUCAAGCUAUCACCUUUAUCACCAGUGGGCUUUAGAGGGCUUAUCUGGUGCAUGCAACAGCCACGGAAAAGCAUCCUUCCCUAGGAGUGGGCCCAGCCUUCAAGAACCUUCGGAGCCAUGGGAAAUAAGAACACGGUUUCCAGAAAACCCAGCUGGGAAUGCCUCUCCUGACUCCUUCACAUUUGCCCCCUCCCUAACUGCCCACCCAGGCUCACCUCCACCUGACCCCCAUCACCCAGGAAAUGCUGCCAGCAGUGGGGUCAAGUGUCCCCCAUCUGGGGCCCUUGAGAUGACAGACCAGCAAAGCCAAAGCCUCCCCUUUGUGAGAAGAUGAGCGUCUGCAUUUGUCCUUCUG
rnacentral:lncRNA from 1 species